ensembl:lncRNA
AAACAUAGGACAAAAUACAGAACACUAAUGGACUUGAGUCUCUCUGCAACUCCUCUGAUUCCUCACGAGGCCAAGACUAACACACACACACUCUACUCUACUCUACUCUGGAGUGGCACAUUUGGAGUGGCUGACCAGCGAGGAGCAGAGAAGUGUUAAUGCUGUCGGGGAGGAGAAAGGCUGAGCCCUGAGUGGUUUGUUGUCUCCCUCUGUGAAUUACACAUUCUGUUGACAGUAGAUGGGAUUCUGCCAUCUGAAGAAUUACAGC